CACGUAGGGCGCAAGCGUUGUCCGGAAUUAUUGGGCGUAAAGAGCUCGUAGGCGGUCUGUUGCGUCCGCUGUGAAAACUCGGGGCUUAACCCCGAGCCUGCAGUGGAUACGGGCAGACUAGAGGUAGGUAGGGGAGAAUGGAAUUCCCGGUGUAGCGGUGAAAUGCGCAGAUAUCGGGAGGAACACCGGUGGCGAAGGCGACUAUCUGGGCAAAUACUGACACUGAGGCACGAAAGCAUGGGGAGCAAACAGG
rnacentral:rRNA from 1 species